UACGGAGGGUGCAAGCGUUAUCCGGAUUCACUGGGUUUAAAGGGUGCGUAGGCGGGUAUGUAAGUCAGCGGUGAAAUCCCCGAGCUUAACUUGGGAACUGCCGUUGAUACUAUAUAUCUUGAAUGUCGUGGAGGUUAGCGGAAUAUGUCAUGUAGCGGUGAAAUGCUUAGAUAUGCCAUAGAACACCCAUUGCGAAGGCAGCUAACUACGCGAAUAUUGACGCUGAGGCACGAAAGCGUGGGGAUCAAACAGG
rnacentral:rRNA from 1 species